UCGCUUCCUCCUCGCUCGAUUCAUGGGACCGCUCUCGACUAUCAACGGAUCCUUCUUCGGACUUGACGUUGGAAUUGACCUUGAUGCUUGCGGCUCCUGGAUCACAUUAGUAUCGCUCAUACUGGUUCUUUUGUUGUAAUUAUGCUAUUUAAAAUUUCCACAAGUUCAAUUGAUUUUAUGUCAGUUCUAGACCUCUAGAGUAUUGCUUGGUCAUUGUCACAUCU
rnacentral:lncRNA from 1 species